UUUUGCGCUUGGUAAUGUAAAUAUAAAUGCAAAAUAAAUUAACAUUGGUCUAUCAGGAUACACACGCUUACUAAAGCAUAAAAUUGCGUUAUACAGUUUGUGUUUUUCUGUUGAUCGUUUUGACAGAUGCUGGACAUUUGAAAAAACCGAACUACAAAUUGGAAGAUGCACCGAAACUAUUUCAAAAAUUUAAGAAAGAUUACCACAGACACUACGCCAAUGAAGCAGAAGAACAGAUGCAAUAUAAGAUAUUUGUGAACAACUUAAAAAGAAAUCAUCAGAUUGAAUGCCAAGCAACCGGACCCGCCGAUUACAGUUUAUAAGAUCAACCAAUCUGCCGACCACACUCCGAAAGAAAUCGGACAUGGCCAUUAAAUUGAGAUGCUAAAGUUUGCUUCAGAGAAAAUAUUAGCAGUAGAAUCAAUGACGUUCAUUAUUGAGUAGAAUACAUACAAAGGUUCUUAUAAAAUAUUUCCAUCACAUUGUCGACAACGAAACCCUAAUUUUUGAAUUAUUUACUCAGAACUUUUAGGCGGACUCGGCGGCAAGAAAUAUUUUAUUAUAAUCAUUCAAUCUGAAGAAUUCCCCAGCUAAUAAAUAUAAUUCAAGAAAGAAAAUAUCAAUAGAAUACCAGAUAGUGUUAUUAUGUAUUAUAGUAGAAUUAUUAUAUUAUUGUGUACGUUGAAUUAUUUUGUAUUUUAUUUGCGCGAUGUGCGUACUUGUAAUUCUAGGAACAAGGUUCUGGGACUUAUAGAUAUUAUUUUAAGAAUCCACAAGUGUAAACUAUGGUGGUGGAACUUGAAUAAAUAGUAUAUUAUUUAUAUGGGAUCCUUAAAGAUCCUUAAGCAAAGAAUUGUAAAUAUUUUUUUUUCACAUAAUUAACAAAGUAUUUAAAUACUUUAAAUGUUUAUUAUUUUUCUGGUAAAAAGAGGACAAGCGGUAGGUCGGUAGGCUACCUAGGGUCACCUGGUGUUAAUUGAUCACCGCCGCCGCUAAAUUGGCAAUUGCUCGCGCUUUUGAGACCCAGUAUUCCGAUACAAGAUGAGGCUUUAAGGGAAGUGUUGUCGAAGAGCGGUCAUACGACAGAUGCGGUUUUAAUAGUGGUGUAUACAACGGGAUAAUAACAUAGAUGUUUUAAUUAGUUUGAGAAAAGAACAUAAUAUUUAUAAUAUUAUUGUUAAUACGUUUAAAUAUUAAAAUUGUAUAGUAGAAUAAAUAUAUUGCGUCAGUUUUUGAGGACACAUUUUUAUUCGAUCACAACAAGUUGCACCCUACAAAAGGAAUAUAAAAAGGCUUGGGCUUCUAAUAAGCGUCUUAUUAGUAACAAAAAUUCAUUUAUUAAGCAAUUCGGGGCAGUCUAUCAUACCAUGUGCCAUUUUAACCAGAUAACACAGCUAUCAACGUUUGUCGAAGAGGUAAACUUUUAAAAGCAAUGGUCCCAGGACAGAUCCCUGAGGAAUAACUGAAUUAUUUUUUAUAUAUUCAUUACUGUUGGUAAUGAUGAAAUAUAUUUGAAAGCAUUUAAUUUAGAACCGAUGAAGCAGCUAUACAGCAGAAACCUUGGAUUUGAGUUUUUAUUGAAAAUGUGAGAAUUUAUCGCAUUUCUAAUUAUAACAUACCUGAUAUCAUCAGUUAUUUUUCAAUCUAAAAUUAAUAAUUAAUCGAAAACGACAUGUAUACUUAUUAAGAAUACAAUUAUGCUUACAAUUUCCAUUAAUUAAAGAUAAAUAUUAUUGCGCUUGGUAACGUAUAUAAAUGCUUAAUAAAUUAACAUUGGUCUAUUACGACAGACACGCUUACUCAAGCAUAAUGUUGCGUUAUACAGUUUGUGUUUUUCUGUUGAUCGUUUUGACAAAUGCUGAAACUUUGAAAAAACCGGACUACAAGCUGGAAGAUGCACCGAAACUAUUUCAACAAUUCAAGAAAGAUUACCACCGACACUACGCCAAUAAAGCAGAAGAACAGAUGCGUUAUAAGAUAUUUGUGAGCAACUUAAAAGAAAUCAUAAGAUUGAAUGCCAUGCAACCAAACCCGCCGAUUACAGUUUAUAAGAUCAACCAAUUUGCCGACCGCACUCCGAAAGAAAUCGGACAUGGCCGUUAAACUGAGACAGAUUACUUGAGACGAAACAUCGGUAGCAGAAUCCAUAUAACCAUUAGCAUAAAAUAUCUCCAUCAAGUUGUCGACAGUGAAACCCUUAUUAUUGAAUUAUUUCCUCAGAAUUUUAGGCGGAGCUGUGUUUGGCCUUAUUGCUGUGAAUUUGAGUUAGCGAUUUGUCUUUUCCCCAGCGUAUAAAAAUUGUUUAAGGUACAAAACAUCAAUAGAAUACCAGAUAGUGUUAAUAUGUUUUAUAGUAGAAUUAUUAUGUUAUGUAUGUUGAAUUGUUUUGUAUUUUAUUUGCGCGAUGUGCGUACUUGUUAUUGCAGGAACAAGGUUUUGGGACUUAUGGAUAUUGUCUUAAGAAUUGACAUGAGUAAACUAUGGUGGUGGAACUUGAAUAAGUAAUAUAUAAUUUAUAUGGAAUCCUUAUAGAUCCUUAAGCAAAGUAUUGUAAAUAAAAUUUAUUUUAUUUCAUAUAAUUAACAAAGUAUUUAAAUACUUAAAA